rnacentral:rRNA from 1 species
GACGAACGCUGGCGGCGUGCCUAACACAUGCAAGUCGAACGGAAAGGCCCUGCUUUUGUGGGGUGCUCGAGUGGCGAACGGGUGAGUAACACGUGAGUAACCUGCCCUUGACUUUGGGAUAACUUCAGGAAACUGGGGCUAAUACCGGAUAGGAGCUCCUGCUGCAUGGUGGGGGUUGGAAAGUUUCGGCGGUUGGGGAUGGAUUCGCGGCUUAUCAGCUUGUUGGUGGGGUAGUGGCUUACCAAGGCUUUGACGGGUAGCCGGCCUGAGAGGGUGACCGGCGACCUUGGGACUGAGAGACGGCGCAGACGCCUACGGGAGGCAGCAGUGGGGAGUAUUGCACAAUGGGCGGGAGCCUGAUGCAGCAACGCCGCGUGCGGGAUGACGGCCUUCGGGUUGUAAACCGCUUUCGCCUGUGACGAAGCGUGAGUGACGGUAAUGGGUAAAGAAGCACCGGCUAACUACGUG